ensembl:lncRNA
CAGAGGAGGAUGCUAAUCAGUUUAAGCUGCUUUGGUGCUAAUGAAAUUAACAACAAGUGCACCAGAGGGCUAAAAGUGAGACAACCUCCGAGUCGGGAAUGAUUUUACAGACGGAGGCCACUGACAUUGUCCCUCCGUGUGUUUUCACUCUGAGUUUCAGGUGUCUGUAGCUCUAUCUCCGCCUGAAAGCGCCUGAAAGCAGCAUGAUGAAGGCGGUUCCUGUGUCGGUUGGGUGGGGGCUAUAAAAGGUGCGACUGCGCGCCUCCUGUUUCAAUUGCCUUUCCUCCAUCGAGCGCAGCAGUUUCCCAUCACAUCAGCAUGAAGAAGCUAAGCAUCGUUUUCGUCGCAGUCCUGCUGCUGGCUCUCAAUCUUACCUCCCAGGUGGCCGAGGCACAAGGUAAAAGCGGAACCGGAGGCACCAACACCCAGAACUCGACUACAGCCGCACCGUCGAGCGCCAGCGGGAGUCCCGCCGCCUUCACGCUGCUCGUCGCUCCGCUGCUUCUGUCCACGGUUCUCCUGCACGGCUGGUCCGGAUGAUCUGAUCCGCGCUGGACAUUCGGAAGCCGGCAGGGGACACAACGUUAGUGUUUAAUAAAAGGCAGAAAAAGGAAAUCACAUAAAGUAGGGAGCUUAACUAUUUACUGUUGAGCGGGCGAAACGAGCGCGACGCGCCCCGGGCCCCGUCGCGCCCCGGGCCGCGCCCUGCUCCUUUCCGCAUCCUGCUCUUCAUCAACUCUGAAACGCAACCAAUCCUCCCGCCAGUAACGGAACAUGCUCGAUGAUAAUUCAGAAAUAUUGAACCCUGUGGAAAACAUGUGUAUUCAUGUGUCUGACAACGACUGUAUGUAAAUGAGUUCUGUACUUUCAGAAUGAUGCAAAUCUGAUGUUUGACAUGUGAAUGCUGUGAAAUUAAACUUUAAAUUGUAAAAAA